AAGUCGUAACAAGGUUUCCGUACGUGAACCUGCGGAAGGAUCAUAAACAACCCUGUGAACUUUCAGCCGCUCUCAUAGCCCUUGAGGAACAGCAAUCCCGGUAAAUUGUCGAACAGUUUUGAUUCGGGACCUCUGCCCAAAAAGGCUUGUUACGAUCGAGCGUGGGGUCGCCCCAAGCGGGUCAGUGAAAUGGGGAAACGUUCACUGGCUUGUGUAAGGUUAACGCUUCUCGGUUGCUAGAGGUCGGUAGACAUGUCACAGGGCUUUGCCCCCCAAUCACCACUUGCCAGAAUGCCCCGUCUAGUGGUAACGCGCUAGGUUAAAAAAACCGAACAACUAUUAACAAUGGAUAUCUUGGUUCUC
rnacentral:misc_RNA from 1 species